rnacentral:rRNA from 1 species
UUGGACACUGUGGGCAACCCUGAUCCAGCCAUGCCUCGUGUGUGAUGAAGGUCUUCGGAUUGUAAAGCACUUUAAGUUGGGAGGAAGGGCUUUAUGUUAAUACCCUGAUGUUUUGACGUUACCAACAGAAUAAUCACCGGCUAACUCUGUUCCAGCAUCCGCGGUAAUACAGAGGGUUCAAGCGUUAAUCGGAAUUACUGGGCUUAAAGCGCGCGUAGGUGGUUCAGUAAGAUGGGUGUGAAAUCCCCGGGCUUAACCUGGGAACUGCUUUCAUAACUGCUGAGCUAGAGUACGGUAGAGGGUAGUGGAAUUUCCUGUGUAGCGGUGAAAUGCGUAGAUAUAGGAAGGAACACCAGUGGCGAAGGCGACUACCUGGACUGAUACUGACACUGAGGUGCGAAAGCGUGGGGAGCAAAC